rnacentral:rRNA from 1 species
AAUCAACGCUGGCGGCGUGCCUCAGACAUGCAAGUCGAACGCGAAAGUCCCCUUCGGGGGACAAGUAGAGUGGCGCACGGGUGAGUAACACGUAGGUAAUCUACCUUCGGAUGGGGAAUAACAAUCGGAAACGGUUGCUAAUACCGCAUAAUGCAGCGGCACCUAAUGGUGACAGUUGUUAAAGCGGGGGAUCGAAAGGCCUCGCGUCUGAAGNGGAGCCUGCGGCGGAUAGCUAGUUGGUAAGGUAACGGCUUACCAAGGCGACGAUCCGUAGCCGGCCUGAGAGGGCGGUCGGCCACACUGACACUGACAUACGGGUCAGACUCCUACGGGAGGCAGCAGUCGGGAAUUUUGGGCAAUGGGCGAAAGCCUGACCCAGCAACGCCGCGUGAAGGAUGAAAUCCCUCGGGA